GUACUCACUUUGGCAACACAUACACUAAAUUUGAAACAAUACAGAGAAGAUUAGCCUGGCUUCUGCACAAGGAUGACACACAAAUUCAUGAAGUGUUCCAUUAAAAA
rnacentral:snRNA from 1 species